rnacentral:rRNA from 1 species
GGCUCAGGAUGAACGCUAGCUACAGGCUUAACACAUGCAAGUCAGGGGCAUCAUGAGAUUAGCUUGCUAAUCUUGAUGGCGACCGGCGCACGGGUGAGUAACGCGUAUCCAACCUUCCCUAUACUAGAGGAUAGCCCGGCGAAAGUCGGAUUAAUACUCUAUGUUCUUCGUAGAUGACAUCUGAAAUGAAGCAAAGAUUUAUCGGUAUAGGAUGGGGAUGCGUCUGAUUAGAUAGUAGGCGGGGUAACGGCCCACCUAGUCGACGAUCAGUAGGGGUUCUGAGAGGAAGGUCCCCCACAUUGGAACUGAGACACGGUCCAAACUCCUACGGGAGGCAGCAGUGAGGAAUAUUGGUCAAUGAGCGAGAGCCUGAACCAGCCAAGUAGCGUGCAGGAUGACGGCCCUAUGGGUUGUAAACUGCUUUUAUACAGGGAUAAAGUGAGGGACGUGUCCCUUUUUGUAGGUACUGUAUGAAUAAGGACCGGCUAAUUCCGUGCCAGCAGCUGC